ACUGGGAACUAUUCGUAGUUCUCACUCCACCAUGUUACAGGUCCGAGCUCGAGCGCCCCCGGUGAGGAUCGCGGCAAGGGCGUAGCGCCCUAGCGGCGUGGUAUUAGUAGAUAGCUUUACUUUCCCCUUGCAUUAGCUCCACCCUAUGCUUUAUAUUUUGAGAGUAGAUGUUGUAUAGGGUGAGGUUUGGAGAGUGGUUGUACGUAAGCUUGAAUAAAUGUAAUCAAAGUAUUCAAGUUAAAAGAAAAUAAUUGUAUAAAGUUAAAUGAGCUUAAUAGUUAAGUAUCUCUCUUUUAUUCACUUGUAUGAUUGUAUUACUCGUGAUGCUUGCUCUCGUAAUGUAUAGCACUGGUUGUGCUUUUGUUGUUAUUGAAUGAUUUUGUAUGUAUUCAAGUUGUUUUCCUGGAAACUUGUUGUACACAGUCUCGUCGUUGGAGCCUUAGGCGGACAGGGGAGACUCUGUCCGUUCGGCCUCACGCCCGCCGCCCUCGAAUCGGACCAAAUUGGUACCGUCUUCGGGUCAUGCGUUCGGGGGCGUGACAACUAUGUUCAACAACGAGGUCAUUCAUUCGAUUACCCAAUCUCUCGGCGAACGCAAGGCUCGCUCACAGUCUCACGUGUGUAAGUCUCAUAGGGGAGGAGGUCAACUACUGGACUACCCCCGAGACCGCCUGUGGACAGUUAGCGGCUGUCCGGGCAGCUAGCGGCUACCCCUCAAGUGACAAUACUCCGGAGUGCACAACUUGUGUGGAGCUACCACCACAAGUGCAGACAGGCUGCGCGAGCUCGAUCCAAUCUCAUGAGCUAAGAACAUCCUACCCGACCAGGGGUGAUAGCAAUUUAGACUCAGGUGUUCUAGUAGUCAAUCACCUAGUAUCCCAACUAUACUAAUGUUCUCAUGCCACUCUGGGUCAUAUUUAAAGUCAUUAGAUGCCACUCGUCCAAUGUUUAAGAUUAACUAAAUGCCACUCGUUCCCCUGACAAGUUCUCGAUACACUAGUUGCAUUUUACUAGGUUCUCAUCCACAUAAGCAUAUUCCUUCCUUAUCAACUAUCUUUUCAUUCUAGGGUCUCAAGUCACUUGACACUAUGUUAAGCAUACUAGAUUUAGGUAUUAAGCAAAUUAACUCUACGCUAUUCUACUAGCAUGCAAGAACGUGUAACAAUUACAUUUAGCACCCUACAAUGCAACAUUACAACAUGUAAUCGAUCGACUUGAUAAACUUAGAAAUAGGGAGCAGUUCAACUGCUUUGGGAUGGCACUCCCCCACCUCGUGGCGAUGUCGCGAUUCUUCGAGCACGAUUCGCCGACUUUACGACGCCUCGUUGGCCUUCUAGGCAGGAACGAAGCUCCGAGGGUCUCCUUUGACGAUAACUUCGCACCUACUCGACGGAUUGACGAACCGUCUUCGCCGACACGUUCAGGAACCUAGCAAUUAGGUUUGCGACCCAUCAAACGAGAUCAAAACCCUAGAUUUGCUAAAAUCCCAAAUCGGGGCCCUAGGUCUCAACAAUGGAGAAAUCCGCGGUGCGAGCUUCAAUCUCGAGCUCGAACCAUCUCCUUAGCUUCAAUAGGUUCCAUUCGAACCAUUUCUAAGCCAUAAAACCCUAUCACAAUAAAUCCACCAUUGUAAGGUUGAGGCUUACCUUCAAAACCCACUCCAACAAGAGGAAGAAGAUGAGGAAGACGAUCUUCACCUUUGUCUUCUUCUUCUUCUACUUCUUCUCCAUCCUCUCCUCCUCUUUCUUCUUCUCCUUCUCUUGCUUCUAGAGAGAGAGAGAGAGAGAGAGAGAGCAAUGAGAGUGUGGAAUUGGGAGAGAAAUAAGAGAAUGAGAGAGGGAGAGGGGUCCUCAAGCCCUCAUAAAGGCAGUUUUGCAAAUAAGCCCCUCAACUUUCCUCUUACGAAGCAGUCCUCACUGGGCCACUUUCGGGUACGGGGACCGGUCCCUCUCAGGGAGGACCGGUCCCCCGAGAGCUGCCCAAAAAUUACGCGUACGGGAACCGGUCCCCACACUGAGGGACCGGUCCCCGAGAGCUUUCUCCGAAAAAUUGGGGCUACGGGAACCGGUCCUCUCCCAGAGGGACCGGUCCCCGAGAGCAUGAAAUCUGCUCCUUGAGCAGAUUUCGCUCCAAGCUCUCGCGGGUCCGUCCUCAAUAAACUUUCGACGUUUUUGAUGUUCUCGGACUUUCCGAAGCACACCAACUCGACAAUUAGUCGAUUUUAAACAUAGUCAAAUCCUCGAAUUUCGAGAAUUCACCUCCCUUACAAUAUAUCCCGCUUGAAUUCCUCCCACAACAUUGGCGGAAGAUCGGAAGGCCGAUCCCGCUUCACGCACUUCCACCACACCUUCGCCGCUUUCUCCAAGCAAUGGGUGGCGAGGUACACCUUAUCCCUCUCCAAGGUACGCAAAUCAUCGAAGAGGGUUUCCAUCGAGUCGAUCCAAGACUCGACCAUCGCCGGCUCCACCUUCUUGCCCUCAAAAGUUGGCGGAUGGAACUUGUUAAACUUGAUAAGAGCCGCCAAUGCGCGCUCUCCUUCCACAUCUUCGGCCGUCACAUCGGGUGUAGCCGAUCCCGACGCCGCAAGAGGAACAAUUGUCGGCGGGGGACGCGCCGCCACCGGAACCGCCGCUAUACCCUCACCCUCAGCUGGCUCAGGCACGCGAGUCAAGGGUACGGGCACCUCGCAUCCAUCCGUCGCCGUUGCGACCGCCGCCGCAGCCUGCCGCUCCAAGAGCUCCUGGAGCCGCUCGAAUCGGGUCUCCUGGCGCUGCACCACAUCGGUCAGCGCAGUCACUUGCGCUUGCAACCGAUCCAUCACGCUCGGUUCAUCCUGCUCGGGCACCUCAGAAGUUGGUGCUGGGGCAGAUCUACGAGUGUAGCGUCUUGGAGACAUUAGUCCCUGAAACGCAAAUACUUGGUCAGUCAUCUUAACCAAUUACCUCGUCGAACUUACGACACAAGACGACUCCCUAACGAAAUCGAGCGGAAGCAUACAAGCAUACUCGUUCUAGAUUCUUGGCAUCACGUCGUCGGCCGCCGACAUAACCACCUCAAAUCAAGAACUAAUACCACUUGAAUCCGUCUCUAUUCACAACUAGAGACAUAUUAUCAACUUCGACCCAAUCGAAUUAACUUCCGCCAUCGUUAUAGGUUCACGUUCCGCUCACGCACCUAUAACCUUAGGGCUCACCAACUAGGGUCUCCUAGGUCAUCCUAGACUUUCUCUCUCUACUUGCUCUUGUUGCUCUGAUACCACUAUACCUGUCACACCCCGCCCCGAAACCACUACCAGUUUGGCAUGAUUCGGGCGCGGCGGCGGACCGCCGAACGGACAGCACCUCCCCUGUCCGCCCAAGGCUCAACAACGGGAAUGUGUACAAGAAUUUACCCAGGAAUUUAAAUUCUAAACAUACACAUUCAACGAGGGCACAAACAGUGCCAACAACAAGAAGAGCAAGCAAUCCACAAGAAUGACAUGUGAAAUAAAGAGAGGACUUUACUAACUAUUACAAUAGUUUGCAUUCUUUUUCAUUUACAUCAUUUUCUCAAAAUGUAUACAUUUGAUCCUCAAAAUACAUAGCCCUCCAACCUCACCUACAUGAAUCUCUCUCAAUACAUAGGUGUGCUAAUGCAAAAGGAAAGCUACUAUACUACCGCGGUCUCACUGGUCGGCGGAUCCUUGCCCCGUCCUCUCUCGGCAACCUGUACUACACUGGAAUAGAGUGGGGGUGAGAACUACUUUCCAUAGUUCCAGUGGGCUCGGACGCGACUCUGCCGAUCUUCCCCACUAGGUCAAGUGGGCACAAGCAAAAAAGAUAGAUAGAUAGAUAGAUAUCUGAAAGCUGUAAAUGCGAUAGUAGGAACAACUAUGCUAACUAUGCCCAAAAUCAUGAAUAUGAAUGCAUGCAUCAUAUAAUAAAGGUUUGCUACCAUGCUAACAAAUUCGAUACAUGUUCGAAUAGUAAUGUUCAAUGACAUUUUUAAACGUUUAUCUUUCCAUUUACCCAAUCUGUGGCGAGACCCUGGGGCUCGUCAAUGACUCACCUUUCAAUCCCAAAGUAGGGAGGGAGCUCCAAGUGCACCCAAGCCCGGGACCGUCUGCGGACCUCCAUGUGGUCCGGACCUCCAAGUGGUCCUAAUCGCACGACACUCCGGAGUACUCGACGACAAUCCCCUCCAUGUGGGGAUAGGAUGGCUAUACCACCCCAAAGCAGACUGUGAGCUAGAUCUAUCCUCUCCAAGUGAGGAUACACUACACUAGGGUCAACAACCCAAUCAAAUCCUCUCCAAGUGAGGAUGCUCUACAACUAGAGUCAACAUCUCUCGCGGAAUCAUUUGUUCCCGACAUUCAUGCAAUGCUAUUUAGCUUUCUAAAUUCAUUGUUCACAAGGCAUUUUCUAAGGGAUCCACCUAUCCCUAGGUUCUCAAACCUCUAGUGUUAUUUACACUACAUUAAUGCCACUCAUCAUCAUUUAACGUUUGGAUGCCACUUAUGUGUUCCUUGACACUAACCACUACUUUCUAUGUCAUCAACACCCCCAUUGGGUUCAUCUCUUUUCUUUCGCAUCAUAGGAUCCACGUUCCGACCCAAUCCUCACCUAUCUAAGUUACCAAGCGUUCCAAGUACACUAGGUUAUCAAUUAGAAAGCAUAAGGAAAGGUACUACUAUGCAAUCCUACAAUACAACAUGCAAGAGAUGAGAUUAAAUGCAAUCUAAGACAUAGAAUGGAGUUCGAAAGCUUCGGGAUGGCACCCCCCACCUUUUAUCGAUGAAGAGGCUUUAGAAAUGAUCCUCGGCGAACUUUACGAAAAGGCUUUAGCCUUCCUUGCCUAAGACAAUGCUAGAUCGGCCUCGUUUUGCCGAUAACUUCACGCCGGCUCGCCGAAUGCUAAAACCGACUUCGCCCCCACAUUUUGUGACCUAGCAAUUAGGUUUCCAAGGCUUCAAAUGAGAUCAAUCUCAUACUUUCUCAAAAACCCCAUUUUGGAGCCCUAGGUUUGCACCUAUAGCAAACCACCAAUAAAUCCCUAGAUUUCUUGGGAUUGAUCUAUUUAGAAGCUUGCUUAGGGUCCAUUUGAUCCAUUCCUAAGCAUCAAAACCCAAAACCCUAAGUUCUAAAAGCUAGGGUUCAAGAGCUUACCUCUUGAGCUACUCCAAAGAGAAGAUAAGAGGGAGAUGAAGGUGUCCAAGGCCUUCCUCUUGGUCUCCUUCUUCUUCUUCUUCUUUUUUUCUUCUUCUCCUUUUCCUUCCUCUCCUUCUUGUUCCUCUUUUUCUUCUUCUCCUUCUAGGGAGAGAGAGGGUGAGAAAAUAUGAGAGGGAGAGAGUGUGAGUGAGGGUGAGAGAGGAAGAGGGCUCAGCCCCUCUAAUCCCUCCCUAACUAAUGCCAUUUUGCACAAAAACCCCUCAACUUUUAAUACUAUACACUGCCCUUACUGGGCAGAAUUCGCGUGGAGGGACCGGUCUCCCCGACUUGGGACCGGUCCCCAAGGGCCUUCCUCGGGCGCACACGUUCGGGAACCGGUCCCUCCCCGGGAGACCGGUCCUCGGGAGACCGGUCCUCGCCUGAGAGACCGGUCCCCGAGAGCUCGAUUUUCAGGACUUAGCCAAAUUUCAGCAUUUCUCGCCGGGACCACGUUCAGGAACCGGUCCCUCCCUGCUAGGGACCGGUUGCACCAAGCAACCCCGCACACCCAGCCGAUGGAACCGGUCUCUCACCUCCAGGGACCGGUCCCCGAGAGUAACAUCAGCCCAAUGAUGCUGUUUGCACCAUUUGCUCUCGUGGACUCAACUCCAAGGCACUUUUUGUGCUUUGGACAUCUUUAAUUUCCCCAAAGGGUAUUCUCUCGAAAAAUAGUCGAUCCUGGACGAAGUACAACUCUCGGAUUUCGAGAAUUCACUUCCUUACACCGACAGCGAAACAGACUAGUGAGUAUGAUCCAAUCCUCUCAAGAGGAUACCCUAUCUACUAGGGUCAAUGUGCCUCUGCUGCACAGUCAUGAUAUAUAUAAUCAAUGUUGGAACUUCUACUAUCCCUAAGUUCAUGUCAAGUUUACUACACUAGACUCAAUGCCACUCAUUUAGUCAUUGUAGUAAAUGUCUCAAUUAUUCUACAUGCCACUCGUUCAUGUUUAGUGUUUCUACUGCACUAGUCAAUGCCACUCUACUAGGCUAUCAUGUGUCCAAGUUCGGCUCUUUAUGCCAUUAUAGGAUUUUCAUGUCACAAGACCCAAUCCUCAUGCUACCCUAGUCCAUGUGUUCGACUCAUAAGUUACACUACUAAGAAGCAUGCAAGGAAAAGGAAAUGUACAUCUAUUAACCCUAUAAUGCAAUAUGAUCAACAUAUAUAUAACUUAGACAUAAAAAGAAACCCGGAUGCUUCGGGAUGACACCCCCCACCUCUUGAGGGUAUGAAGGCUCUAGAAAUGCCCUCCAACGGACGUUACGACAAAGUCUUGGUCUUCUUGGUCCAAAAUGACGCUCAAUCGGCCUUGUUUUGCCGAUAGCUCUUGACCCACUUGACGAAUGCGAAAUCCAACCUCGCCCCCGCGUUUAGCCACCUACCAAUUAGGUUAGAGGAGGGUCAAAUGAGAUCAAUCCUCUACUUUUCCAAAAACCCUAUUUUGGAGUCCUAGGGUUCCCAUCUUGCCAUUUGCAAUUUGGAACCCUAACUCUAGCUUCAAUCCACCAACAAUGGUGCUUGGGUUCCAUUUGACCCCAUUCCCAAAGCUAAAAACCAAAAAACCCCAAAUUUCACAAGCUAGGGUUAGAAGCUUAACUCUAGGUUAGCUCCAAGAGAGAAGAGAGGAAGAGGGAGAGGUCCAAAGCCUUCCUAGAUUGAUCUUCUUCUUCUUCUCCUUCCUUUUCUUCCUUCUUUUCCUUCUGUUUCCUUCUUUUUCUUCUUUUUCUUCUUUUCUUCUAGAGAGAGAGAUGGAGAAAGAGUGUGAGAGAGAGAGGGAGUAGAAUGAGAGAGUGAGGGAGUAAUCUCCCAUGUAUACCCCUCUAACUAAGGCCAUUUUGCAUAAAAGCCCCUCACCUUUCAUCUCUGUGCACUGCCCUCACUGGGCUGUCUGCGCGCGGAGGGACCGGUCUCCCCGACUUGGGACCGGUCCCCGAGAGCUUCAGCUCGGGUCACGCGUUCGGGUACCGGUCUCUCCCAGAGAGACCGGUCCUCGGGAGACCGGUUCCUUCCUGAGAGACCGGUUCCCGAGAGCUGGGAUUUAGGACUUAGCCAAAUUUUGGCUUUUCUCGCUG
rnacentral:lncRNA from 1 species